ACUUCACAUUUACUGGUGAAAAAGCAGACUAGAUACCUGAUGAAUGACAUAUCAUUACCCCUUUUUGUUGGUAGAAAACUAAGCCUAAGAAUACUUACUGACAUUUUUUAAGAAACACAUGUAGAACUUAGACCUCCUAAGCACCAAGUAGUAAUCUUUCUACUAGAUAACAACUCUUGCUCUGAUUGCCUUAGGUAGAUAAGUGUCCUGAGACACAGAACAGUUCAGGGCAUGAGUCAUUUCUGAUUUCCUGAACUGCUCCCAUUUCCUCCUAGCAUGGCAGCUGGAAACAAGGACAGCUAUGUAUAGAGAAAGAUACUGAUGUAACUCUUGGAAAAACAAUUUCAGCAUCAGAUUUUGGGGCAAGUGGAGUCCAAGGAAAAAUCUAUCAAGAUCACAGAAUACUCAGUCUUAACAGUUCAGCUUUGAAUGGGCUGUUUAGACAUGCAAACCAAGACAGUAUUCUGUUGCAGGGGGAAAAGGAAGAAGUGCUUCUGUUUCUGGCUGACAGUGAAGUAGGGACGCCCGAAAAAGGACUCAGAAACUUUAGGCAGAGAGGCAGAUAGUAAAAUAUUUGAGGUUUUGCAGGCUAUGUGGUCUCCUUGUAAUUGCUCACUUCUGCCAUUAUUACAGGAAAGCAGCCGUGGACAACGUGCAACAAAAAAAGUGAAUGUGGCUGUGUUACAGCAAUGAAGAAUGAGGCCCCAAGAGAUGCAAGAGUCAUAAGACAGAAGUCGCCCGAGUCUUUAAAUCAUCAUGUGAAGGAAAGCAACCUGCCAGGAAUACCCAGAAGUUCCAGCUGCCCUACAUUGCUGGAAGCAGUGCUUUGAAGUACCCUGCACCUGGGGUUGUCCUGUUUUAUCUCACCAUGCCCAGAUUCCAGGCAUCCUAAGAGCUCGCAGAGUACCUGGCACCCAUCAGUAUUUCAAUAAGGAGAAAUUGAAUUGGAAGAUGAAUGACACAGAAGCCAAUACAGCCCACAGAUGCUGCAAAAUGGGAUUUGGGCUUCUGAGUUUGUUCUCAAACUGGAGAAGUGCAGAAGCUUCAUUUGAGCCUUCUUGCACUUAUCUUCCAUCUGCUUCCUGGAUUUUCAAGGGUUAGAAUGGAAUGGCUAUGGUUAAAAUACAGAGAUGAGAUAAAAGAAGGUAAGAUAAAGAUGGUUGAUUCAGUGCCCCCAGAAUUGCUAAUCCAUAAACAGCCAACUCCCUUAUAUGCAUUGUCUUCUUUGGGAGCUUACCCUAUCUUUUGCCUUAAACUAAAAGCUGGCUCUUUCUGAGGUUGUCAUGUCCCAAAUGGUGCCUAAUUAUUUUCUGUCAUCACAUGCCCAGGAUAAAGUUGAUGUCCACCAAGUUCCCUUUGCCUUUUCCUGGAUCACUUAUACUUUAUACUCUUGUAAAAUUAAAACAAAACCCAUCAACCACAAAACACAUCUGUACCUUUGCAGGUCAUGCUAGGCUACCCCCCUCAUCACAUCUUCUUCAUCUUUCUGAUUCCCAGUUACCAGUCUACUAUAUCUCACCUGCCUUCCCCCUAUCCCCCAGCUUCUGUAGAGUAGUGCUCCUCAAACUUUAUGUACUUUUGAAUCACCUGGGAGAUCUUGUUAAAUUUAGAUUCUGACUCAGUAAGGAUACCCACAGACUAUAUUUCUCAUAAUUUUCAUGAGAAGCUGUGGACCACUUUGAAGAAUAAAGGAAAG